UUUUCCAGGAGCAUGGCAUUGGUCAAAAGAAAAUGGUGUCAAAUCCUUGUGUUCCAACCAAGCUCAACGGCCAUCGUGAAUGUAAAGCCUGAAAUUGUUCCAUGUUAUCGAUUCAGAUAAAGAUCAUGGGGAUACUCCGAAUAUGAUGCUCUGUUGUCCGUCAGACUUGGGUACUUGGCCUCUGCAGAGUUGAGGCUCGGUUCAGUCUAUAUCAGGCACAAGUUCUCAACGAUCUACUUCGACCCCAUCUUGCAUCAGUCCAUCAGUCACGGAUUGCUGCAAAAACAUGCAUUGGAGCAGAGAGAUCAGGAGCAUUCGACAUCGUUGCCAACUUGCCAUCAGCCCAUCAGUGGUCAGUCAGGGAUUGGCGGUGGCUAUCAAAUGCAAUGCUGAGGGAAGAUGGAGGAAAUAACCCAGUCCAGCAGUACUCGCACUACGCCUCAGCCAUGGGCCAUGGCAAUGUCUCCGCUCCUCACGCUCCACCUCCUCGUGCUCGCCACCACCACCAUGGCCCCCGCGACACCACCGACCGCGCACUUCCUGGGCGUCAGCUACGGCACGCUGGGGGACAACCUCCCGCCCCCGCCGCCGUCCGGUUCUACGACGCCAACGCCGCCCUCCUGGCCGCGCGCGGCCGCAGCCUUGGGCCUCGUCUUCGUGCCGAGCAUCCCCAACGAGCUCAUCCCGUCGCUCGCCGCCUCCCAGCGCGUCGCGGACGCCUGGGUCUCCAACUCUCUGCUCCCGUUCCGCCGCAGCUCGGGCUUGCCUGGGAUGCCCCGCGGCGGGGCUUGCCGACGGCGGGCGCGCUCGGUUGCCAUGUCGCUGGACGGAACUUUUACACAAGACCCCCUCUUUCGUAUUGCGACUAUGAUUCGCGAUCCGAUAUUUUGCCAAGUACCCCCAGGAUCGGAUCGCGAUUAGUAGUCGCGAUCCGAUCUGAGGGUUGUUUUGCAAAAUUUAGUACAAUAUUUCUCAAAAUACCCCCAUAUUGGAUCGCGACUAUUAAUUGCGAUCCGAUAUUUAUCAGAUAGACCCCUACAAAUUUUCAUAUACACCCCUUCUUUUGGAUGGACAGCUAAUCUCUGCUCCCUCAGUCUCCCUCAUCGGCGUCCUCCGCGCCCGUCCUCCGCUUCCCGACGCCGUCGUCCUCCCCACCCUCCGAACCUUCCAGUCCAUCCCCCGCGGCAAUCCAUGGCACCAGCUUCCUUCGAGGAGCAGAAGCACGCGCGCAAUUCCCGCACCCAAAAGCGCAGCCAAGGUGGAGGCAGCGCGCUCUCCUGACGGCGGCACCCGCCGCCAGGACGCGCCGCCUUAUGCUCGUCUGCCUCCAAUCCCCAUCCGCCGGUCUCGCAGUCUACCGGUGGUGAAGCAGCAGCUACGAUUUGGAAAGUCAAGGAAGCUGUCUGGAAAUUCGUGCGUUCAUCAUCGUGUGAAUACUCUGCAAAAGUCCUGCUUGAUCGAUUAUUGCACCUUGUUGUAGCCAAUGGCAUUGGAACAAGUCUUCUCGGAAUAUGAUAGUGAUUUAGUGAAGACGAGGUUGAUGAUGAUAUUUCCGACUUUGAGGAUACAGGGGCAAGAUGGAACCAUUAUUUUGCUCUGCUCUUCAGAAUAAAAUAUCUGCUUUUGGACCAUUGCUGUUUCAACAUCGCUGAAAAUGCAGAUGCUUGACGAUUUUGUUGAUACGAAAGAUGAGAUGCAUAUGUGGAAUUCAUUAGUUCGAAAACAAAG